rnacentral:misc_RNA from 1 species
GAUUUUUGUUUCCCGGUGUUGCAAAUAUUCUUUUUGCUGCACCCACUAUUUCAAUUUCAAGAUUUAUAUGUAACUGAAAUUUACCUACCUUGCAGCUCCUUGUGAAACUUGUAGCAUCCACUGACUUUUGUUUUGUCAAAAUUUAUAUGCACCUGAAAUUUGCUUAGGUAUCACAGAUGAAGCAGUCUUUCUGUCAUGAAAGGAAGAAUGAUUUGUUCAUUUUCUUGUUAGUAAUUGUAUCUCAUGUAAUUAUAUCAUGAACCUUGAAAUGUAUCUGCUUUGACCUCAAGUAAGCAUGUGUUAAAAUAGAAAGUAAUGAUUUUUAGGGAAAAGUUUGGACUUUGGAGAAAUUCCUUGUUGUAAUAGGCUUUAAUCAAGGGG